rnacentral:rRNA from 1 species
UACGGAGGGUGCGAGCGUUGUCCGGAAUCACUGGGCGUAAAGGGCGCGUAGGCGGCCCGGCAAGUCAGUGGUGAAAGCCCGAGGCUCAACUUCGGGUCGGCCACUGAUACUGCUAGGCUUGAGUCGACUAGAGGCAGAUGGAAUUCCGGGUGUAGCGGUGGAAUGCGUAGAGAUCCGGAAGAACACCGGUGGCGAAGGCGGCCUGCUGGGCAGUUGCUGACACUGAGGCGCGACGAGCGUGGGGAGCAAACAGG